GGCGCCGUGGCCGAGUGGUUAGGCAGAGGUCUGCAAAACCUCGUACAGCGGUUCGAACCCGCUCGGUGCCUCCA
rnacentral:tRNA from 1 species